rnacentral:rRNA from 1 species
GAUGAACGCUGGCGGCGUGCCUAAUACAUGCAAGUCGAGCGAACAGACGAGGAGCUUGCUCCUCUGACGUUAGCGGCGGACAGGUGAGUAACACGUGGAUAACCUACCUAUAAGACUGGGAUAACUUCGGGAAACCGGAGCUAAUACCGGAUAAUAUAUUGAACCGCAUGGUUCAAUAGUGAAAGACGGUUUUGCUGUCACUUAUAGAUGGAUCCGCGCCGCAUUAGCUAGUUGGUAAGGUAACGGCUUACCAAGGCGACGAUGCGUAGCCGACCUGAGAGGGUGAUCGGCCACACUGGAACUGAGACACGGUCCAGACUCCUACGGGAGGCAGCAGUAGGGAAUCUUCCGCAAUGGGCGAAAGCCUGACGGAGCAACGCCGCGUGAGUGAUGAAGGUCUUCGGAUCGUAAAACUCUGUUAUUAGGGAAGAACAAAUGUGUAAGUAACUAUGCACGUCUUGACGGUACCUAAUCAGAAAGCCACGGCUAACUACGUG